ACCAACAUGGUACAGUGGUUUGGAUGUUGGACUAGGACUCUGGAGACCAGGGUUCGAAUCCUUGCUUGGCA